UAAAAAACAAAAAAACCAAAAAACCAAAAAAAAAAAAAAACCCACCCCCAAUGUAGGUAUCUUUAGGGAUGGGAACUUGAAAUGGCUUGUGGUUACCAGUGAGCACAGUAAAUAACAAACUGAAGUUCAUUAGUAGAGAGGAGAGAGAGAAAGCUUCUGAAACAAAACGUUUGAGAGCUGGGAAGGUCUAGGAAGGCAGGCUAACUCGUUCCCUUGAGGAUUUCAUCCAGCUCCAACACAGUCAAUUGCAGAGAGGUUUCAGAUCUGUGUGCAUGUACACUUUUGAACAAGUUCAGUUGGUUUAUUUGCAGAAAGAUGCUCCAAUCUACAAAUGGGGCAAUUUCCAUUUGAGUCGGAAACAGUUAUAUAGAAAUUACCAUAAUUGAGUCCAUUCACUCUAUAGGCAGAACCUAUCCAUCUCAAAUUAAGUGUUCAAGUUUCUUCUCUAUUUUAUUUCUAUAUUUAGUUUAUUUCCUUCCAAAGAUGUGUAACCAAAUAUAAAGAGGGAAAGAAAGAUAUUUCUCUUCUAUGUGCAUUUUAUCGACACAGUCUCAGCUCGAGUCUCCUUGGGGAAAGCCUUUCAAGACAGGCAGAAUGAUGUCCUUCCUGCCACAACAUAAUUUUCCAGCUGCCAGGGGAAAACUACAUAUUGUGCCCUAAACAACAACCAAGAGAGAACAGAUAAUAAUCACUCCCCAAGGACACCUGCUGCAGCUUCCCUCAGCAAGGCCUGUAGAAACGGUCCUGAAGUUACACUUCGCUCUGUAUUUUAACAGACACACGACGGAUUCCUGUCCUUACUGGAAUGACUGCCCUGCUUUUUUGCAGGUCAAGAAUAAUUCUGGAAGAAUUACCGUCAAAUAAAAAAAUCAUCAAUGGCUUCAUAUCUUGUUCUGGUGCUAUUAAUGUAAGAGACAUAAUUUAUUAUCCUGAAAUGCUGAAAUUUGAUCUAAAUGGGUCCCUAGAUGGAUGGAUGAGUCAAAUCAAAGAGGAGGAAAGAAACCAAACAGUUGCUGAACAGUGUUGGAAAGUUCCAUGGAACGGUUUGUGUUUUUCAUUAAUCACCAGUUACAGGGGUCGCCCACAGACAUGGCAGUUCUGGAGAUAUGCUGGCUCCCUUGCCCAGAUCUGAAACACACCAGGGGGUGCCUGACUCGGAAGUUUAUAUUCUACGAAAUGUGCUUCUGCAUGGACUGAACAACUGCUUGGCACCCACUUUUCACAUGUGGGGUAUAAAUUACUGCCCUGCCAAAGACAUCCUUUAGGCAUAAUGGCAGUUUCGGCUCUUGCCUGGGUCCUCCCACUCUAGACAUGCACUGGCGAGACCUCUGCAGAUUUUCCAAGCAUCUUAAACGAAGGAAAUUCCAGCUCACCAUGUGAAAUCCUCUUGAAGAGACAAGGAAAUAUGGCCCAAGCUGGUGCUGAAAUUAUUCAUCGAAGAAGAUAAAAUUACAGGCUGUAAGGGCUGAAGAAAUCUUGGUGAGAGUUUACACAACUUCUCCCUUUCUGUGGAUGAGGCAAAUUAGGCCUCGGCAAGAUGAACAGAAAUCAGGCUUUAAUUUGUGACUCUGGCAUGAGUCUGCCGGCUCCCCCACUCCAGCAACUGAAAGCAAUAAUGAACUUGAUUUCAUUCACAGAGGCACAAAAUAAAGUCCCUUUAGGCUGCGAUGGCCCUGUUCAUACUCAGCAAAUGCUGGUGCCUAUGUGGGGGCUGCCUGUUCACCAGCUGUACUUAAGGUACCGCGUGUAUCUUCCGGUAAAUCAGAAAUAGUCUGUGUUAUAUGUGGGGGCAGAUUUCACCUACUAGCAUAAAACACUAUCAUAAAUUUCCAAUUCACCCCCCUCCACAGCCCGGAGACAUUCCAUUCUGCAUGUCGCAGGCAACUGCUCGCAAGAAACAUGCACCAUGUGAAAAAGUAAUUACUGCCUUGCCCAAGGAAUGAAACCGAUUCUACCAGCAUGUCUAAGCUUUUACAGAUAACAAGAGAGCAACGCCUUGGCUUACUAAGAGUGCUGCAGUCUUUUUUUUUUUUUUUUUAACCUUUUGAAAAUUCAUCCUUGUCUAAUGAUUAAGUAUGGAAAAAAGUGAGUUAAGUACCGCCUGACAGUUUGCUCAAUAGACGCUCUGUAAUAUCACCUCUCCUGGUCUUCUUUGAUAGAGAACCAGCCAGCUGUAUCGACGGCUCUCUCCCCUCUUUAAUAAGUUGUAAAUUGAGCAACAUAAUUCUUCCCAUGUCCAAGGCUAGUCAGCCCAAAUGCUGUGUUCAGAAACUGGCUGGCUCUAUGUUAUAACCUGUCUGUCAUCACUUUCUUUCAUUAUAGUUCCGUGGUUGCUCUGGGGAGACUUGACCCAUUCACCAGCGAUUCACUUAAUUCGGGUACAUGCUACGUGUCAUUGUGUGUGCGCCAGACGGCAAUGCCACAUUCCCCGACUGUCCUGAGAUGAUCACUGAGCCUGUGAAAGGAUCGGUUUGGGGCUGUGCCCAGGCUCCUUCGACAAGCUCUCUCUUUGUGCAGUUGAUGAGAUUGAUCAAAUCUAUCAGUGUUUGGCCCUUGUGCUGUUAGUUCCCAGAGAUGGCCUAUCCCUGAGUUUUGCAGUUUAGCCUCCUUGUCCUUGCGAAUACAUCUGAAAGGAACGCUGCUAAGUCCAGCGAAAGAAGUCUUUCCAGUGGCUUAUCCGCUAUGAAAGCUGUUCCGAAAUAAAACGGAGAACCUCUUAAAGAGAGGCUGCUGGUCAUGGUACUGGUCUAAAGAGAACGAUUUCCGCGCCAACCUGAAGGUUGAAAUAUAUCCCAAAACUCCUUCAGAAGCUAAGAUUUGUUGAAACUGUACUCAUUUCGUUCAAUGUAGGGGAACCGAGGGAAGCCUAAUAAUAUACAUGGAAGGUUUUUGUUUUAUGAUCUUUAUUAUUAGUUUUACUCAAAACAGUAAAAAUGUUCUAUCUUGGUUUUGUUGUUGACAGCAUCAUAUGGUUUUGUCUGUCUGUUUCUUUGGAGGGGGUGGGGGUUGUCCACCCCUGCUGCAUGCAGAAGUUUCUGGGGCCACAGCAAUGACAACGACCAACCCUUAAUCCCCCUAACCAAACAGGGAACUCCAGAAUAAAGGUUUUUCUUUGGAACACGAAAAGGACCAGUUCAGUUUGAAUGGCAUGUGGCAAGUUAUCUUAAUCUGGGACACACAUCACAGAUCCGUAAGGACAGCCCAAGCCUGGUUCAGCCUUUCCUUAAGAAGGAGGUACCGCUCUUUAAGCCCAGGGAAGGUAAGAUGCACCAGAUUCACAGAUUAUCGCCCCCAUCACUUAUGAGCAGCCCUUUUCUCGGGCCAGCGAAAAACAGGUAACCACUGCGCCUUCAGGUUGAGAUUGGUAAACAACUCAAGCAUCAGCCUGUAGACACCUGUGGGCUCCCAGCUGAAGUCAACUGUGCAGGGAGGAAGGACACAGAGGAAAUACAGUUUCAUUUCCCAGUAACUCCCCUGACUCAAAUUAAGGUGGGAGCCGAGGAGAACAUCUGUAAAAACAGCAGCCUGCAAACUUGGGAGGGACGGAGCCAGGCCCCCCUUCACCGCACUUUGAGCCCCAAAACACCUUCUAGCUGUUAUACCAUACGAGUGAGAACGCCUCAGGGAUGUAUCAUGGCUCUAGAAUUUUUAGAUAAUCUCUGCACAGGACAAAGAACCACAGCUGUGCCGAAUCACACCCAUUUCAUAAAGCCGAGUGACAUCUACCAGCCUGAACACAAAAACCCUGGCAACUGCGUGGAAAGAAAAAAACCCAAACGGUCAUUCUCAGAGAACCAUCACUGAGUGACUUGACCACUGUCUGUCUUCCGUAUCAUUACAGGACAACUCUGAGCUUGUCAAAGGCUCUUAGAAUAUUACCACUGAGAUUUUUCUCUGAGUCUUCACAAAUACAGUGAUUAAUAAAGCAAUUUCAAAGGACUAGAAUCUUGGGCUGUGAUUUGCAUGCCUGUCAAUUUUGAUUAACACCAAACAACCAAAAUGAUUUCUAUGUGGGCAUGUGGUCGCGGAGAAAGUGGUGGGGCACCGCUGAGCUUCAAGAGAAGACCUGAGAUGUAAGCGCUUUCCUGUGUUUGUGCGGUCCUGAUGGCGGGCACGUCGACCUGAGGCGGAGCCCCUCCUCAUUCUGUGCCUCAGUUUCCUGAUACGUCAGAUGGAGCAGCCACAGGGG